AUGCACACUCAACACAAGAUGGUGCACCAACACUAACGUUACUUUCAAACGUGCCCCAGAGUGGUCAAGAUCACUUGAUUUCUUUGAAACUGGAAUCUGGGAACAUGCACACCAUUGGAGUUUAUACCUGGCUGGCUGCUUCUGUUCGAAAAUUACGAACGUCACAUGGAUUUCGGGACUUUCCAUUCACAAACUGAACUUGCUUUGGUUAUUCCCGUCACGCACAUACCAGAACACACUGUGGGAGUGGGCAAGAAUUCCAGAACACAUUUUCAUUGGGGAGAGAAAAUGUGAAAAUAUGAUCAAAGAUGACUUGGUUGGAUGUGUAGGUUUGUUACUGUAGUUAUGGUCAACGGGUUUUCAGCUAGUAUCCACUGGCUCUGUUUUAGUUCUUUCAGUAGCCUAGUCAUUGUGAAACAAAAACACUUUUUAAAUGAAAAGAAUGCAUAGUCCUACAUCCCACUCAGCAGUAUGGAUAUGUACAACCAUGUAUAGGCUACUAGAACUAGAUGAUGCUUCAGUGUCGGCCAUCUCAUGAUUGAGGAUAGAUAGACACAAGAUGGCUGCAUACUGACGCUCUUACUGGAAAGGGCGUGGGACUUACCUCAACACUGUUUGACUCCACUUUCCAUUGCAUUUCUAUUCUAUAUGAUUUUCUUGCUGUGUUUUUCAAUGUGAUGAUAUUAAACAAUUUCCUAUCAAAUGGAGCUAGAUCCAACACAAUGUACGUCCUUCAAUGGGUCCCAUCCAGUAUGCCAAAUAAACCUCCAUAGACCUUA